rnacentral:rRNA from 1 species
GAUGAACGCUGGCGGCGUGCCUAUACAUGCAAGUCGAGCGAACGGACGAGAAGCUUGCUUUUCUGAUGUUAGCGGCGGACGGGUGAGUAACACGUGGAUAACCUACCUAUAAGACUGGGAUAACUUCGGGAAACCGGAGCUAAUACCGGAUAAUAUUUUGAACCGCAUGGUUCAAAAGUGAAAGACGGUCUUGCUGUCACUUAUAGAUGGAUCCGCGCUGCAUUAGCUAGUUGGUAAGGUAACGGCUUACCAAGGCAACGAUGCAUAGCCGACCUGAGAGGGUGAUCGGCCACACUGGAACUGAGACACGGUCCAGACUCCUACGGGAGGCAGCAGUAGGGAAUCUUCCGCAAUGGGCGAAAGCCUGACGGAGCGACGCCGCGUGAGUGAUGAAGGUCUUCGGAUCGUAAAACUCUGUUAUUAGGGAAGAACAUAUGUGUAAGUAACUGUGCACAUCUUGACGGUACCUAAUCAGAAAGCCACGGCUAACUACGUG